AUUCAAAUAGCUUAUAAUUAGAGCAUGACACUGAAGAUGUUAUGGAGAUCCUAGGAUCUUUGAAUA
rnacentral:tRNA from 1 species